rfam:Salmo salar isolate Sally breed double haploid chromosome ssa21, whole genome shotgun sequence.
UGCAUUCACUACUAUAAGUCGCUGUGGAUAAGAGCGUCUGCUAAAUGACUGUAA